rnacentral:rRNA from 1 species
AACUGCGAGUGAAGCGGGAAAAGCUCAAAUUUAAAAUCUGGCAGCUUUGCUGUCCGAGUUGUAAUCUAGAGAAGUGUUAUCCGCGCUGGACCGUGUACAAGUCUCCUGGAAUGGAGCGUCAUAGAGGGUGAGAAUCCCGUCUUUGACACGGACUACCAGGGCUUAUGUGAUGCGCUCUCAAAGAGUCGAGUUGUUUGGGAAUGCAGCUCUAAAUGGGUGGUAAAUUCCAUCUAAAGCUAAAUAUUGGCGAGAGACCGAUAGCGAACAAGUACCGUGAGGGAAAGAUGAAAAGAACUUUGGAAAGAGAGUUAAACAGUACGUGAAAUUGUUGAAAGGGAAACGCUUGAAGUCAGUCAUGUUGCCCAGGGAUCAACCUUGCUCUUUGCUUGGUGUACUUCUUGGAUCAACAGGUCAGCAUCAAUUUUGAUCAGUGGAUAAAGUUCAGAGGAAUGUGGCAUCUUCGGAUGUGUUAUAGCCUUUGUUCGUAUGCACUGGUUGGGAUUGAGGAACUCAGCAUGCCGCAAGGCCGGGUUUUUAACCACGUUCAUGCUUAGGAUGCUGGCAUAAUGGCUUUAAUCGACCCGUCUUGAAACACGGACCAAGGAGUCUAACAUGCAUGCGAGUGUUUGGGUGGAAAACCCGAGCGCACAAUGAAAGUGAAAAUUGAGAUCCCUGUYGUGGGGAGCAUCGAUGCCCGGACCAGACCUUUUGUGACGGAUCCGCGGUUGAGCAUGUAUGCUAGGACCCGAAAGAUGGUGAACUAUGCCUGAAUAGGGUGAAGCCAGAGGAAACUCUGGUGGAGGCUCGUAGCGAUUCUGACGUGCAAAUCGAUC